GCUGGGCACAAUGGCACAUGCCUGUAAUCCCAGAAGCUCAGGAGGCUGAGGCAGGAGGAUCUCGAGUUCAAAGCCAGACUCAGCAAUUUAGCUGAGGUCCUAAGCAAUUCAGUGAGACCCUGUCUCUA
rnacentral:sRNA from 1 species